GCGCCCAUAGCUCAGUUGGAUAGAGUGUUGGUUUCCGAAGCCAAAGGUCGCAGGUUCGAUUCCUGCUGGGCGCGCCA
rnacentral:tRNA from 2 species